UCACCGACAUAUGCAUGGCCUGUUAUUGAUCAAAAUGUCAUUAUGCAUACAUAACUUUAAUUGAACAUCUUUUAAAGAAGCUAAAAGAAGGGAGAGUCUUCUGCCUUGAUUCCCAGUGUCCAAAUACAAAAGUAUUGACUACUGUCCCUGAUGUGACGAGCAGGAUCUAUUGAAGCCGAACACAUCAUCUUUCAGUUCCAGGUAGGAGUGCAGUAAGAAGAGUUUUCUUACAGGCAUGAUCGCUGUGAUGGAUAAGUGUGUCUUGGACUCUAAUGAAUGAACCAGCGACUUAGUCACCAGCCGCCUACACUAAUAAGGUGAGGGUGUGAUGCUGGUUUGGGCAGGGAAGGUCUUUGGUCUCUUUAUAGAUUUUAGAAUGCUAAAAUAAAAUGACCUGUGGGAUCCUGAAACCAAA
rnacentral:lncRNA from 1 species